UUGUUGGUAAGGUAAAAGCUUACCAAGGCUUCGAUCAGUAGCUGGUCUGAGAGGACGGCCAGCCACACUGGGACUGAGACACGGCCCAGACUCCUACGGGAGGCAGCAGUGGGGAAUUUUGGACAAUGGGGGCAACCCUGAUCCAGCCAUGCCGCGUGAGUGAAGAAGGCCUUCGGGUUGUAAGGCUCUUUCAGCCGGAACGAAACGGUUACGGUUAAUACCCGUGACUACUGACGGUACCGGAAGAAGAAGCACCGGCUAACCACGUGCCAGCAGCCGCGGUAAUACGUAGGGUGCGAGCGUUAAUCGGAAUUACUGGGCGUAAAGCGUGCGCAGGUGGUUUUGUAAGUCAGAUGUGAAAGCCCCGGGCUCAACCUGGGAACUGCGUUUGAAACUACAAGACUAGAGUGUGGCAGAGGGGGGUGGAAUUCCGCGUGUAGCAGUGAAAUGCGUAGAGAUGUGGAGGAACACCGAUGGCGAAGGCAGCCCCCUGGGUCAACACUGACGCUCAGGCACGAAAGCAUGGGGAGCAAACAGGAUUAGAUACCCUGGUAGUCCAUGCCCUAAACGAUGUCAACUAGUUGUCGGGCCUUUACGGGCUUGGUAACGUAGCUAACGCGUGAAGUUGACCGCCUGGGGAGUACGAUCGCAAGAUUAAAACUCAAAUGAAUUGACGGGGACCCGCACAAGCGGUGGAUUAUGUGGAUUAAUUCGAUGCAACGCGAAAAACCUUACCUACCCUUGACAUGUAUCGAAGCCCGCAGAAAAGCGGGGGUGCCCGAAAGGGAACGAUAACACAGGUGCUGCAUGGCUGUCGUCAGCUCGUGUCGUGAGAUGUUGGGUUAAGUCCCGCAACGAGCGCAACCCUUGUCAUUAAUUGCCAUCAUUUAGUUGGGCACUUUAAUGAGACUGCCGG
rnacentral:rRNA from 1 species